ACCACAAGAUGGCUUCCUUCUCUUGUUAUAGCGGCAAGGCGUGUCCUUUGUGGAACGCCAUGUGGUUGUUAUCCGGCAGACUAAUAGUGAAGAUCUGGCCAGCAUUUAGUUCAGCACUGUUCAUCUGCGCAAUAAAUACAGCAGCCAUACACUGGAAAAUAGCAGCGCCGUCCAUAUUCACUGUGGCACCAAUAGGCAGAAUGAAUCUGCUAAUCCUCUUAUCAACGCCGUUGUUUUCUUCAAUGCACUUGAUCAUUGUGGGAAGAGUUGCAGAGCUGGAGACAAAACAGAGAUAAACCUAAAUCAGGCACCUCCCACAGAUUCAAUGCCCACCCACUGGGUGGAACUCUGAAAUUAAAUCAAAAACUUGGUUUAUGCAAAGUGUUAGUUGAUCAGUAUCAGUGUAUGUUGCUGUUUUAUCAAGGAAAGGUAGAGUCACUGGGCUCUAAUAGUUUUAACCCAGGCUGGUGCUGCUCUUCUGUCAAAAAAUACACUAAUGCACUGCGCUGGGGUAGUUUUCAGUAGGGUAGGCCACCACCAUGUUUCCUAUGCACCCCUGCACCAUAUGAAUUUUCGCCCUAUCUGGUAUUUGGUCAGAGCUAGUACACAUAUACACUGGUCUAGCUAAAAAAAUCCAGUGGAUCUGGGAUUCAGAUUAGGCCCUGGCAUUUCAAGUACACAGAGGCCCAAACAGCCCCUCACCAGCAAAAUAAAAAGUGACUGUCUAUGGCAUCUUACAGCAGCCCCUCUGGCAUUUGCCAGAAUCCACAGAUCCAGAUCGGAAGACAAAAGUCCAGAAAUAGUAGCAUAACAAUCUUUUUACUCAAAUAUCAGCCAUUAUAUACAUUUUAUCACCAACGGCCACACCUUGACAGCCUACCCAUAUAAUGUAUUUAUAACAAAUAGAAGAGCAAUAAAGUAAUAAAUGAAAGUAUAACUGA